UGGGGAAUUUUGGACAAUGGGCGCAAGCCUGAUCCAGCCGUGCCGCGUGCAGGAUGAAGGCCUUCGGGUUGUAAACUGCUUUUGUACGGAACGAAAGGUUCUGCCCUAAUACGGUGGGAAUAUGACGGUACCGUAAGAAUAAGCACCGGCUAACUACGUGCCAGCAGCCGCGGUAAUACGUAGGGUGCGAGCGUUAAUCGGAAUUACUGGGCGUAAAGCGUGCGCAGGCGGUUAUGUAAGACAGAUGUGAAAUCCCCGGGCUCAACCUGGGAACUGCAUUAGUGACUGCAUAGCUGGAGUACGGCAGAGGGGGAUGGAAUUCCGCGUGUAGCAGUGAAAUGCGUAGAUAUGCGGAGGAACACCGAUGGCGAAGGCAAUCCCCUGGGCCUGUACUGACGCUCAUGCACGAAAGCGUGGUGAGCAAA
rnacentral:rRNA from 1 species